rnacentral:rRNA from 1 species
AAAUUGAAGAGUUUGAUCAUGGCUCAGAUUGAACGCUGGCGGCAGGCCUAACACAUGCAAGUCGAACGGUAACAGGAAGAAGCUUGCUUCUUUGCUGACGAGUGGCGGACGGGUGAGUAAUGUCUGGGAAACUGCCUGAUGGAGGGGGAUAACUGCUGGAAACGGUAGCUAAUACCGCAUAACGUCGCAAGACCAAAGAG